UACGGAGGAUGCGAGCGUUAUCCGGAUUUAUUGGGUUUAAAGGGUGCAUAGGCGGUCUGUUAAGUCAGCGGUAAAAUUGCGGGGCUCAACCCCGUCGAGCCGUUGAAACUGGCAGACUUGAGUUGGCGAGAAGUACGCGGAAUGCGCGGUGUAGCGGUGAAAUGCAUAGAUAUCGCGCAGAACUCCGAUUGCGAAGGCAGCGUACCGGCGCCACACUGACGCUGAGGCACGAAAGCGUGGGGAUCGAACAGG
rnacentral:rRNA from 1 species